rnacentral:rRNA from 1 species
AGUGAACGCUGGCGGCGUGCCUAAUACAUGCAAGUCGAACGGAGAUUAAAUAGCUUGCUAUUUAAUCUUAGUGGCGCACGGGUGAGUAAUAUAUAGUUAAUCUGCCCCAUAGUGGAGGACAACAGUUAGAAAUGACUGCUAAUACUCCAUACUACUUCUUAUCAUAAGUUAAGUCGGGAAAGUUUUUCGCUAUGGGAUGAGACUAUAUCGUAUCAGCUAGUUGGUGAGGUAAUGGCUCACCAAGGCUAUGACGCGUAACUGGUCUGAGAGGAUGAUCAGUCACAUUGGAACUGAGACACGGUCCAAACUCCUACGGGAGGCAGCAGUAGGGAAUAUUGCGCAAUGGGGGAAACCCUGACGCAGCAACGCCGCGUGGAGGAUGACACUUUUCGGAGCGUAAACUCCUUUUGUUAGGGAAGAAUAAUGACGGUACCUAACGAAU